rnacentral:rRNA from 1 species
UACGGAGGAUGCAAGCGUUAUCCGGAAUGAUUGGGCGUAAAGGGCGCGUAGGCGGCCUUCUAAGUCAGACGUGAAAUCCCCCGGCUUAACCUGGGAACUGCGUCUGAUACUGGGAGGCUUGAGUAUGGGAGAGGGAUGUAGAAUUCCAGGUGUAGCGGUGAAAUGCGUAGAUAUCAGGAGGAACACCGGUGGCGAAGGCGGUGAUCUGGGCCGACACUGACGCUGUAGAGCGAAAGCGUGGGGAGCGAACAGG